GAUGAACGCUGGCGGCGUGCCUAAUACAUGCAAGUCGAGCGAAUGGAUUAAGAGCUUGCUCUUAUGAAGUUAGCGGCGGACGGGUGAGUAACACGUGGGUAACCUGCCCAUAAGACUGGGAUAACUCCGGGAAACCGGGGCUAAUACCGGAUAACAUUUUGAACCGCAUGGUUCGAAAUUGAAAGGCGGCUUCGGCUGUCACUUAUGGAUGGACCCGCGUCGCAUUAGCUAGUUGGUGAGGUAACGGCGCACCAAGGCAACGAUGCGUAGCCGACCUGGGAGGGUGGUCGGCCACACUGGGACUAAGACACGGCCCAGACUCCUACGGGAGGCAGCAGUAGGGAAUCUUCCGCAAUGGACGAAAGUCUGACGGAGCAACGCCGCGUGAGUGAUGAAGGCUUUCGGGUCGUAAAACUCUGUUGUUAGGGAAGAACCAGUGCUAGUUGAAUAAGCUGGCACCUUGACGGUACCUAACCAGAAAGCCACGGCUAACUACGUGCCAGCAGCCGCAGUAA
rnacentral:rRNA from 1 species